rnacentral:sRNA from 1 species
CUCCGCUGCGCUCCUACAGUUGGGCCCUUCUUUCUCCACCUCCCUCCCCCUCCCGCGCGUUGCUCCGGCUUGUGUUCCCGGGUUCCCUCCCCGGCGCGUCUUUCCCGGCCCGCCCGGUGCAUUGUGGGCUGACGUCUUGGUUUGGCUGUCUAGUGACGGAGGCUGCCGGGUCCGCUGGACCCUUGCGGAGUCUGUCGGAGGCGGGCUCAAGUUCAGGGCUGGGGACCCAGACCGAGACGCGGGGAUCCAGAAAGCUGGGGAGACGCGCUGGUGGCCUGGGGCGGAGGGCUUGGGUGGGAGUAGAGGUUACACACACACACACACACACACACACACACACACACACACACACACACACACACACGAACACACGAACACACCCGUGAAAGGGCUGAAUGAUCUGGGCGAUUGAAGCUGGCUCCGCACCCCCGCACUUCCGGGAGACAGAGCGACGCGGGUUAAUAUGGUUGUGUUCGCCCCGGGUGCGGGAGCGGCAAGUGGGUUGAAGUUGAGCGGGUUUGAGAGUGGCCCUCCCACGCCGAGUGCGCAUGGAAGUUUAGUUUCGGAGAAGGAUCUGCGCCGCAGUGUGCUGUGCUGGAAACCAGAGAUUUGCUGUGCUCGGAAUGAAUUCACCAGGGUCCCCGGCACAACACUUCAUUUUCUGGGGACGUGCCGGGAGGGGUUCGCUUUACCUCGGAGGGACCCCCUUCUAGGUGUGAAAGAUGCCACCCCGGCUCCUUGGGGUAUGGAAAGCAACAUAUAAAGGUUCGAAACUCAGGAAACCCCAGCGCUCGCCUGCACUAGCACAUACACACAGCCCCGCGCACACUCAGUUCGCGCCCGCCCUUCCUCCCUCCCUGAUUUGCUUCUGGGAAAACAAGCCUUGAGAGCUGCGGACUCGCCCCGAGUCACGGUGCUUAAGCAGGAGUCCCUGGUAGAAAGACUGAAAAAUCCCCUCCCCGCUCGAUGGUGGAUUCAUAUCCUGUGCGGCCUCUAGGAAGCGCUAGACACAUCUAUCUUGGGAGGCAUACAUUUUUACCUAGACUUUUCGUGGAAGGAAAUGGUCCCAGAAAGUUCAUGCGUCUUGCUUGGGGUAUACAGACAGCUGGAAAGUGAGCUCAGGCUUGCUUCAGAAAGUCACACAUCUUCCCAUGUCACCUGACAAUACAAGGGACUUCAAGGACAUACAGAAGAACAGAGUCCUUGGUCUCUGAAUGACCCUGUGGAAGGAUACUCACUGGCCAGAAGUAGUCCUUCCAGACUUUGAAUGACAAAUCAACUUCAUUGUGCUGGUCCACUGGGAUUUUGGAGUAAAGAUGGCAAUAUCUUCUAAUUCCACUUGGUGUUUAGGAUGCCCUUCAUAAGAAGAAACCCUGGGUCAAAGUUGAGGCUUAUGUUCUGGCUUUCCCAGCUUGAAAAGAAAGAAACUUGUAUACUGUCACCUUCCUAUUGAGGGUGCAAACUUCAUGAGGUAUGUUAGGUAUGUGUUUGUCUUUUUCUGUUUCUCAUCUUUGAGUGGGUGUUUAUUGAAAUGCCAGGUGCUUUUCAGUUGUAUUUCUGAAUGCAAGCAGUACAUAUUGUUAAACAUUUUAUUAAUAUAUUCAAUAUUUUUGAGUGUUUAUUGCAUUUUAGCAACUGGUAAUCAUUGCUAAGCAAGAGCUUCUCGGCAUGCCCAUUGGAGGAGGUAUAGCAAGGGAAAUGGAUGAGAGAGAAGACAGGGUGAGGCCAGCCUGAUAGUGUUCUGAGUUACAGGAUUCCUGUGUGGAAGGGCCUCUCUGCUAAGGAAAGAGGUUGAAGAAAGUGCUUUGGAAAAACUGGUUAAUCAGCAGAAACUUCCAAAGUAGGUGGGAAUAGCUGGAAGAAGAGGAGACGUCAGAGAGGACGUAUUCUAGGAAGAGGGGAUGUAGAUGUUACGGACCAGGGCAUAUUUGGAGCUGUAAAGGAGGGGUGAGGUGGAGGGACUUGGAAUAGAUACAUCUGUGCACAUGCUUAAAAGCCUUGGUAGGCUUUAUAAUGUGGUCAAGCACCAUAUGAAAAGUGUUUAUUUUCCUAGGAGAAGAUGUACCACAGCCAUCAGGAUGUAGCCAUUUGUGUAGUUUCUACUUUAUUGUGUUAUGCUCUUUGUUUCAGAGUUUUCUACAGUGAACAUGCUUUACACUUGCAGAUAGAUAGAUAGAUAGAUAGAUAGAUAGAUAGAUAGAUAGAUAACCCCAACAUGUUUUCCAUCUGAUUAGUUGUGAUCCUAUCACCUGGCCCUUGAAAGAAGUCCUCUGGAAGAGCUGAGGCACAGAGAUGAUUUCCAGUGAAGCUCAAAGUCGUUCAUGGAGAUGUUAUUGGAUUGCGCUGGGGACCGCAGUUCCUUGAUAAUGAGUAAUUGUUUGCUCAAGCUUUAGCCAAGUGUAAAUAUAAAUAUAACCGGGAUGGUUUACCCGUCCAUUGCCAUCCAUGCACUACUGUACCGAGUGCUGUGGCUGACGUGAGAACUGAAUGCAUGGAGCUGCAAUGGUGGACUCCAGGCCUGCUUCGUCAUCGUCAGAUAUGUCAUUUAACAGCUGAGCCUCGCUUUCCUCACAUGAAAAAUGAUUGCGAUGAUUGAUAUUUACCUCAGAGAAUUUAAAUGGGACUGCCACCGUACCUAUGGGAAAGUCACUGCUGAACUGGUGACAUUUCUGUAUAUAUGUAUGUUAUUUAGUGUUUAUAUAUUUAUACGUGGAUUCCUGAAAUAGCAGUUCCGCAGAGUUGAGCAUUAGAAAACAGCUGGUCUUUUGCAAGGCCCAGUUUGAGGCAGACCAUACAAGCUGCUAGAAUACCCUGGCCACAGUGUUAAGACAAAACUGAAAGAAACACAAACUGAAAGAGAUUUGAAUGAGGAAAUACACCCACACUUACAUGCUAACAGCUAAUAGGGGACUUUACUUUGAAGCUAGCCAAGGUUGCUUGACAGAAGGCUGAGAAAAGAUGAGGCUGCUGAGUGAAGCCAGAGAGAUUAUGCUCAAAGUCAAGUAGAUACCAUACAAUAAGCUUUUCCAAGGUCUAUCAUCUUGGGAGGAAAAACAAACCAAACCAAAACCCUUAUAUUGCUGUCUUCCCACUGGUCAGCAGACUUUCAGUAACUCUGCCUUGCUGUAAGGUGCAUCACAGUGUUGUGCAUUAGAGCAGUGUGGGCCACACAGGCAACUGGCAUGUUUCAAACUUCCACAGAUUUCUUGGCUUCAUUAUCAGGAGAAGUAUGCGAUCCCAUAGGUAAUGUUCAGUAAGAGAUGUAUCUGUCCUGCCCCGUCUCAGACUGAUCACGUUCUGCCCUCUGUCUCCUUGGCUGUAGGGCUCCUCUUCACUGGCUGUGAACUCCUUAAGUAAGGUUCCUGAUGUUCAUGUUUGUUCUCUAAGGUUGAGCACAGGGUCGGUCCCUGGAACAGAGCCGUUGCAUUGCAGUUGAACUUCUAGUAGCCAAGGCAAACCUCUGGACCCUCUGUGGUAGCACCAGGAUCCACCAACAGGCAACACAAGCUGAGGCCCGGAGGCUUCUGUGGGACCAUGUAUGAUUCCACUUCAUCUCCUGCAACCCUGUUGCUCUCCAAUAUGGCAAGAGGAGCAUUGGGUCUUCCUCCUUUGUUAAGACAUUUAUACCAGUUGAGCAAGAAGUCGGUGCUAGAGCGGCAGCAGCCGGUUUGGAGCGCAGUCUCUUCCUCAUGGAACCCUGGCCGGAUCACUGGUCUUCACCACCACUACCUAGUGCUUCCAAUGCGCCCUGGCUGUCUCUCCACACUCUCAAGGUCUUCUUCACUCAUCUUCUUGGCUGUGUGGAUCUGAAAACACACAGCGUUUGUCCGUAAUCUCAUCCUCAUCCACACUGACUGUGGAUAACCGGAUGUGUUUUGUGAGGCCCCUCAGUCUCAACAUGGUUUUACAGACUCGGUCCUAAGCAGGUAUCACAUUCUUACUGACCCACAGCUGCUGUGCUACUUAGGUUUGUGUCUGUUGGAAUUCCAGGGCAAAUAUUUAUAAUUAUAUCAGCUCAGAGAGUACUUCUUCUGCAUACUUCUGAGUUCAGAACCUCAGACUUUUUUCUUAAAGCUACUCAGCGUCUCACUCAGCCAGAGGAGAAGAGACCUGUCCGCUUUAGCUCUCCACUCUUUGUAGUUCAACAGCAGCCUGGUUUAGGCCGGGACAAGGGUGAAGGUGGUGGAGGUGGUGGUGAUGUAUUGAUGAUAAAGAGAACAAUAAUAUCUAUGAGAAUUUUAUUACCCCCAUUUUACAGAUAAAACAACUAAGCUUCACAGAGGUGAGGUAACUUCCUCUGCCAUCCAGGUAGGACUUAACAGAAGGUGGGGUUUACAUCUGGUUCCACGUGAUUCUCCACUCAUCCGCACUCCACCACUCCCCAGGUGGAUGGUCAGGGUCAGGAGCCUCGUGAGUGAGAACAACAGGUCUGUCGAGUUCUGCAGGGCUGAGCUGUUUAUCAUUGCGGAGGACACUCAUCACUGUGCUAAUUACAUUAAUUGCUGCCCACUCUGAGGCUAGCUCCUUCCUGCAAUGGCCCAAGACUGUAAUUACAGGUUGGAUUGGUUGGAAGUUGGUUGCUCUCUACCAUGUAGGGGAAAGGUCAAGACUAUGAACAUUGCUCUUCAUCAGACGCCUUACUGGAAGCAGAGAGGAAGGAUGAGGGUUCCUGUGGUAAUCUCAUGAUUCUCUAGAAGCAGGUGCUCUCCUACCCUCAUUCUGUUUGAGGGAGCCUGGUCAGCUGCUUGGAGUCCAAGAGCUAGCGGGAGAGGAGACAGUCUGAAAGCAGGAACCAUCAGAAGUCAUCCUUAGUGCCCAUAACAUAGUACCCCUCACCAGGACACUGCUCUGUCUGACACUGAAGUAUUGGCAGGGUCGGGCAAGGUGCCAACAAGUGGGUUUUGUCUAUCCCUAAAUGAUGACUGCUUGAGAUCUCACCUGCUCUGCCUUCCUUCCUGAGAUUCCAAGAGAAAUUGCUUGGAAGUGUAUUAAAUGCAAACUAAGUCAGAUGUAAGCCAUGGUGUUUUUCUGUUUGAUCUGUUAAGAGGUAAUUUGGAGACUACUUCUGCAUACUUGUUGAACAGAGACAGAGUGGCUUUGGUAAUUCAUCAUAAUUGAGUAAGUGACUUAACUUCCACAGAAAGCAGAGGAUAAUUUGGGAAGUCACUGGCUUUGGAAUGCUGUAUGUUCAUGUACUUUAUGGGUGUGCCCAUAUCAUUUGUGUGGGUAUAAAUGUCAAUGAGUUUGUGUGUGUGUAUGUGUGUGCAUGCGUACUCAUGUAUACGGGUGUGUGUGUGUGUGUGUGUGUUCCUGUCACACUUCCUGCCAGAGUUCAAAUUUGAAUGUCCGCUGAAAACCAUGUGUUAAAAACUUGGUCCUCAGCCUGAUGCUACCGGAAGAUGCAUCUAGAAGUUCCUUCAGUAGGUGAGGUGUAGUGGGGCACGCUCUAGAAGAGGAAGGGGGAAAUGGGUACAUUUCUCUUUUUGUCUUUUCCAUAAGGUGAGUGGACUUCUUUGGAUAAGCACUCCUGCCAUGCUGUUCUGUGUCACAGUCACAAGACAAGGAAGCCAAUCAGUACCAGACUGAAACCCCCCAAACUGUGAGCCCUCCUUCAGACUGACUUGCCAGCACUCUUCUUAAAGCAGAAAGCUGACUAGCACACCCACCAACCUUCUAUGAACGAGAUUUGAGCUCUGUUCUACUAAUCUUAAUGCAUUCUAUAAUUACAUAGGGAAGUAAGGAUAUUUGGAAGUAGACCAGAGUGUAUCUUGGUUCCGCCUUUAUUAACUGCCAUGCCUUGGACAAGUCACUUCACCUCUCUGGGCACUGAUUUCUCAUUUCUAAAAAUAGGGAUAAUAACAGUCCUGACUUGAUGGCACUCCUACAGGCUAGGAGGUUUCUGAGGGCAGGAACUAUGUUUAUAUACUGUUCUGUCCUCAGCCAGAAUGAGGUUUGAGCUGAGUGUGGCCUUGGAACUUAAGGUAAUACUUCUAUUCUGAAUCCAAUAUUUCCCAAUUGGCUGAGCAGCCUUGGAGAAAUUACCUAAUGUUCCUGAGCCUCAGAUUUCAUACCUAUGGAAUAGAGAUUUUUUAUUCCUCCUUGAAAUGAUUGCUGUGUGGUAAGGUGAGACCUACAAAGGCUUGUGUGGCAGAUGGUUAGCACAUAGGAGGCAGCUGGCAAAGCUUGCUUCUCUCAAAGUCUAGUCUCUGUCCUAGAGUGUUACCUUCACCAACAGGUAUUGAAUUUCCACUUGAUCUGAAAAUCUCGUAUUUGGAUCUUCACCACCACACCCGUCUUUCCCAUUUCUUUCUUUCCUUUCCUUUCCCUGUGUUGCCCUCUCAUUCGGCUCUGCUGUGACUGAGUUCCUCUGGACCAACAGUAGGCCCUGGAUGCUCAGCCCUCUCACUAGCCUCGCCUCCCUCAACCUCUCCUUCCACAACCCUGGGCAGAUCUUGUUCUCAUGGACUGCUUCCAGCACAGGCUACUGCCUCAGCUCUGGCCUAACUGGCUGUGUGAGCCUUCUGGUAAACUCUGGCUUUACUAUGGCAGAACAGUAGAGACAGAAAGAGGGACCUCAAAACAAACACAAGAAACUGGUUAACCCAAAAAGACGGAAUGCGCUUCUCUAACAAAUGGAACACGCACAAGAAAUGGGUUUGCAUACAUGUACCUGCUCUUUGGAGUAUAUGCUCACUGCCAACCCCUUAUUCCUCUCUUUUCUCUCCCCCAUCUCUCGCUCUUGGUUUUUUAUCUUUUUGGCUUUUCGAGACAGGGUUUCUUUAUAUGGUCCUGGCUGUCCAGGAAUUUGCUAUAUACAAGUUGGCCUUGUAUACGAAGGAUGGCCUUGAACAGAGAUCUGCCUGUCUCUGCCUCCCCAGUUGCUGGAGUUAAAGGCAUGUGCCGGCACCCCUGGCCUCUUGAUAGACUGUCCUUAUUUCUGUUUCUAAUCAUGUGACCCAUGCCCAAUUCUUUGCCACAGGACACAAGAACCUAGAUAUGGAUUCAAAUCCCUGCCUCUCACAGCAUCCCUAGUGCCAGCUCACUCUGGGUGGUAGCAACCACCAAUGGCUCCUGGCUGUGAUGGGAUAUUUCCAGAACUUUCUUGGUUUGAGGCUUUACACCUGUCAUCUCUCUUCCUUCUGAGGAUCUGCUGACUGGCACUCUUACUUCCUCAGGCCUCAGCUUACAGGCUGCCUCCUCAGAAAGCCCCCCUCCAUGGCUUAUGCAAAAUAAUACCACAAUUGCUCCUGAUCCCCUCCAUUUCGGCUUCCUUCUUCUCACCUGUAAGUGAUCCAGUAUGAAUUCAUUCAUUCAUUCAUUCAUUCACUCUAUUUUCAGUGACAGGGACUGAAGCCACAUUCUCAAUGUGUGCUAAGUCUGUGUUCUUAAUUUAUUCUUAAUUGUUUCUCUCCCUUAGGUAGCUUGUGAGCAUAUAAAAACAGGUUGUGUGAGCCUUCUGCAGACCAUGACACAUAGUAGGUGCUUAGACAAAACACACCAUGGUUUGAAUGUGUGUGACCACUUAUGAAAUAGUAGGGAGGGGCCUACAGGAUGUGUUAGGCAAUUCCAGGCCUAUAUGGUCCACUGGGCAAAUGACAAGGCCUUAAUGAAGUCAGGUCCCCCUAAAGGCUUCUGUGGAAGUCCUACUGUGUGCACAAUAGGUUCAGGAGCAGGGUCGUGGCAUCAACACAAUGAAAAGCACAGUUCCUGCUGGCUUUUGUGCUCUGUGGCUCCUAUAACAAUUACAAGCUUGGUAGCUUAAAUAGUAAAAAUUUAUUUUCUCACAAUUACUAGACACCAGGACAUCUGAAACUAAGGUGUUAGUUAGCAGGGCUGAGCUCCUUUGGUGGCCUCUCCCCUGUGGAGAGUUGUUUCACUUUCAGCAGCAUAACUUUGAAAGUGUUUUCACUGUGUCUCUCUGUAUCCCAAAUCUCUUUCUUUCUCUGAUAAGAACACACGGUUGAAUAGAAAGCUUGUUCUGAACCUCAAGUGAUCUCUCUUUGAAACCCUUCCUGCUCCAAAGACCCCACUUCCAAAUUAGGUCCCCUUCAUAAGGACUGGAGCUGAGGACCUGGCUGUAUUGUUUAACUCACCACGGUGCCUUCCAGGAAUGUCUUGUCUGAGAGUGGGACAGGCACAGCUUAGCAAUCAGUGUCCCAAGCAAGAGUGAGACCAACCAUUAUGGCCUUAGGCAGAGAUUAUUCAGUAUAUUUUAGUCAAGAUUCAUGCGCAGAGACUUUGCUGGGGAGCAGAGAUGACAAAAUGUAGCCUCUGCCCUGGGAGAGUUCAUGGGAGAAACGGAAGUAAGUCUGCCAGUGGGCCCUGGAGAGGUGGAGGUCGGCCCUGAAGCCCUGGGAGAUGAACCGGGGAGAGGAGUAAUGAGAAGGGUCUGAGGGGAGGGGUUCAGAGAGCUUCUUGGAGGAGGUGUAUGAAACACCGAGGCUCCAAGACUGAGAGAAUAGGAACCAGCUAGGCCAGAAAGCAGGGAAGGAUGAAGGCACAGAGAGUAGUAAGACUGGAUACAUAGAGGUGGAAUGGGGACCCGAGAAAAGUGGCUGCUGCAUUCCCCUCCAGGUCGCACUGGGGAGCCACAGAAAGACCUAGAGAAGGAAAUGAUAUCCCUGGACCUGCAUAUUAAAAUAAAAAGAACAGAAAGCCUGCUGAGGAAAGUGAUUUUCUAGAGGUUUGAAAUUAUAUUUGUGAUUUUUUUUAGAAAGUUUAACCUAUGUACAGAAAAGUGCUCAAGUCACAGAAGUGCAACAGAAAAUGUCCUCACAGACAUACCCACAGGCCCACAGACCAGCCUGAGGAAGGAUAUUUCUCAGGAACAACUGCAAAUGAAGCGCCCCUGUAUGUGAGGACAGCCCUGGGGUUGGGGGAGCAGGGACUAAAAGCUACAAAUGCUAAAAGCUCUGCAGUACAGACCUGACCCAUAGGUCCUUCUCUUAAGCCUGUAAGAGAGUGUGUGGCCCAGGACUGGACUGAACUGGAGCUCCCAGCAUGGUCUGGGGUGGAGAGAUUGAGGAAGGACUCUGUGUGAGCAGGGCAGAUCACUGGACUCUGCUUUUCUUGGCCUCCACUUUCUCUUCAACAGUCUGACAAUAGAAUUACUGCCCUCCUUGUGAUCGGAGUCUAGGGGGCUGACUUGGGGAUGAAAUGAAAAUGUGUUUAUGGUUUAGGGGUAGGGCCCAACCCAGGACAGCAUGUAGGCAAAAGCAGUGGCCAGGAAUUGACUCCAGAUUCCUUGGGGCUGGAGCUCUCUCUAUACAAAAGAAGGAAGUUGGAGAAGACUUUUAAUUCUUUUCUAUUUUUUUUCUCCUUAGAUUGUCUUUUUAGAAUCUUAAAACCCUGAUUCUUUUGUCUAAUUGGGGGACUUGAAGCAGUCUGUGGGAAAUGAAUGGCAUAUUUGAUAAUUAGGUAUCCAGUGUUGGAUGCUCGUCCUAGUUACUGUGAUAAACACCGUGACCGAAAUCAACGGGGAGGAGAGGGGUUAUUUGGAUGUCAGGGCAGGGAUGCAAGGCAGGAACUGAAGGAAAGACCGUGGUGGAGGAGCGCUUCUUACUGGCUUACUUCCUCUAGAUGCUCAGCUACGUUUCUCAUAGAGUCCUGGCCCAGGGAUGACAAUACCCACAAUGGCUUGGACCCUCCCAUAUUAAUCAGAAAUGAAGAAAAUGUCCUCACAGAUAUGCCCGCAAGCCAGUCUAAUGAACGCUAUUCCUCAAGUGAGGUUCCUUCCCUCCUCCCAAGUGACUCUCUCCUCAACUUAACAAAAAACUAACCAACAUAGCACACCUUUACUGAGGCCUGUCAUGUGUGAGACCCGCCCUGCACAGCAGACCACUUGGGAAACUUCCAGGUUAGUAUAAUAUUGUUCCAAGGAAUCUCUUCAUGUCUGAUGGCUGAAGAACUUCCGGGGCCUCAGAGAGAGCAGCAGUAGCUCAGAGUCUACUGGCAGGCACAUUAAGGGCUAAAAUACUGCUUAGGUAAAUACACCACUGCAAGUACCUGUAGUCAGCUCUUAGUGGUCACCCUAGAGUGGGUAGCAGUUGGUUGGAGUCCAGGAAGAUUGUGGGAGCUCCAGCAAAGGGUAUGUGUAAUUGCCAAACCGUUCUGUUUGUUAAGACAUCUGUGGAUAGCAGGAUCUGUCCCUACCUGCCUGGUUCUCCGGGGAGGGGGAGGGGCAGUCAGUCACUAGAACAGAGAUGGUCUCACACACCAUGUUCUUUCCCAGGCUGGAGUAAGUACAGAUGCUAGACUCAAGGGGAGAAGAGUGGUCAGGGAACAGUGCCAGUGCUGGUUGGCAUCUGGGUCAAGCCCAGAAGACUCAUGGAAGUCUCGGAGUGCCAUCUGCAUCUCAUCAGAGGGGCUCUGGGUUGACUUGAGUAGUCAGGCAACUCUGGCAGGCACUGGCUUUAAGGCAUUGACUGAGUUGGAUUUGAGAGCCCUAGAUAGAAUAUCGGGCUAAACACUACAUUUUUCAGAACCAGUUUUUCACCUGCUAACAAUAUCACAAGUGUGGAGGUUUAUACAUAGGCAUAUAUGCUGUUUUUAGGUACUGUAAUUCUUACUAAAUAGUAUUUGUAACUUAUAUUAGGAUGGGGGGUGCCAGGGGCUGUGUCUGUGUACAUCAAUUCCUAGUAAAAUGACCAGCAACUUCUCAGACUCUUUAGGCUGGGACUAAUGAGGGGAAGUUUGGGUCAAGCUGGUAUGCCUGGCGCCUACAGCUGUGUCUCAAAUACUGAGGAAUAAACGAAUUCCACUACUUGGGUUUUCUUCAGGCCAAGCCCACUGAAAUAAAGAAGCUGAGGUUUCCAGAAAAGUCUGCUCCUCCGGUGUAGUUGGCUGGUUGACUGACGGUGGUCCAGUGAUAACGUUAUUGGCCUCUGGGUCGCUUUACACCCCGGUGGAUCUCUGAAACUGCUGUGGCCCCUUUCAUCCAGCCCACUUUCUUCGUGGGACUUAAAAUUGAGCACAGAUCAUGGAAGAUUUUCAUCAUGGUCCUGGGAGUUGGACUCCUAGUACCUGCUAUGGCUACAUUAGGGUCCACCUGGCUUAUUGGCUGGUAGCUAGUUCCCUUGGGAACCAGAACAAUCUUCCUGCACAUUGAGUAAUCUGCUUCCUUUCCCUGCCCGGGGCAAGAGUCGGCUCAGGGAAAGUGAAGAAACCAGUUUGGGGCAGCACUAGGGUGGGCGUGGGCUGGGCACUGCCAGGAACUCUGCGGCAAGACCAGUUUCCAUUGCUUCCGGACCGGAUGCAGGGCUGCGAUCCGGGCGGAGACCAGAGAAUUGCGCCCGUGAGCGCACCUAUGAGAGCCACAUGUUAUUCAGCAGACUGAGUCAAGCAGAUUGUCCUCUCUAACGAGGCUAACUCUUCUCCAGUCAGUUGAAGAGAUGACCUGGACAGAAAGGUAGGAAGAAAAGAAUUGUAGCUUUGAAUAAGACUAUCAGCCUUUGGGGGCUUUGUUCGGUUUUUAUGUUCACAUUCACAAUGUAUCAAUGACCCUUCUUGGGAUGUUAGACCACCCAGCCUUGGACUGAAACCACAAUAUCCACUCUUCUCUAUCUUGGACUUCAGAUAUGGAUCAGAACUAAAUCAUAGACUCUUCCAAGUUUUCAACUGCUGACUCAUCUUGUAAAUCCUGGGACUUUCCUGAGUCUGUGGUAAAUGUCACAUGUGCUGACUCCUUAUAACCCCCCCCUCUCUUAUGCUAACUCACUGUAGAACCUUGAUAAACAACACAAUAGGAUCAUCUUUGUCUCCAUUUGAAUGUAACAUGGCUUCUUCAGCCAUCACCUGUUUUUAUCUGCAGAACAGUUCUCUGGAUCAGACAGAGCAGCCCUCUGAGAAUCCUCACCUACAGAAGAGGAAACUGAGGUCUAAGAGGGAUUCUAUCUGUGCUUCUAUGGCCUAGCUGCCCAGAAGUAGAACAACUUCAACCCCAAAGUCAAGGCCCUGCAGAAAGUCAGGAAGGGUGGAAGAACAGCUACUCUCAAUUUUUAAUAUAGCAUUGGCCAUCAAUUUAGAAACCUCUUGAUAUCCCCUGAGAAGAAAUAAAAGACUAAAAAUGUGGACUUAGGUAAAUCUUAUAAAACAAUAUAGAAGCAAGGUCUAGUAGAAAAGCUGUGUCUAGACUUAAAAGAAGAAAAGCAUUUACCAAUAUUCUAGAUGAAUCAUGGUCUAUUUGGGUUUGAAACAAUUUGAGAGGUUAUUCCUUUUGAUUCUUUCUUUUCACAGUAAGAACACUAAGGCCCAGGGAGGAUCUUUGGCUUGUCCCUCUGUACAGCUUGAGGGGAAGACACUGCCUGCUUAGAGGCCUCAUCUGUCAAUCCAACACUUGAUUGUCUACACUGCAUGCUGAUGCUGACGACCCAGAUGCAGACUGUUUCCUCCAUGUUCUGUCCUCAUGGACUGUCUCUUUGGAAUAUCCCAUGUUCAUAGAUAUCAUCUGAGAUGUCGCCACUCACGGCCCUGCAUUUGUAGUGAAGAUGCUUCAGCCUCAGACAAUCCUGUGUCUCCAUCCCAAUCCCUUCUUACUAAUAGGGGAAAUAUGGCCACACGUCUUGCUCUUCAGGCUCUGGAUUUUGUCAUCAUGGAGGCCCAAACACAGUAUUUAUGACUCAUGGUUUCUCUUGAGGACUACGAGAUGAAGCCGGCAACACAAUAUGGACACUGUAAAUGCUCUACAAAUUGAGGGACAAGCCCUGUAUUAAAGGGGGCCCAGAAUACAUACUGUGUUCAAGGCUAUGUUGAUGCCAGUUCUGUUGGCUCAUGAAGCUAGCAGUGAACCACUCCUGUAUACUGAAGUAGUGGUGACUGUCCCUGUUGCUGUAAGAAGCCCCUUUCUUCUCUGGUCCAUGCUUUUCCAUUUAUAAAAUGGGCACAGUCAGAACUCCUACUGUGCAGGAGCUGAUGGUACUGCUUGGCAAGCCAAGCAAAGGAAAUGAGUAUUCACCCACUUACUAUCUUAUCUCCUCACUUGCUAAGGAAAAGCUAAUAUAUGGUUGGUAGAGUUCAGUAUAUGAUAAGAUUAUCAUUUUAAUUAUCAUUGUCACCAAGUUUCCUGGGAUAGGUGAAGCUCUUGGAUGACAAAGACUUUGACAAAAAUAACGGAUCAAGCAUAUCAGAGGAGUCAGGUAUGGGAACACCUGCCUGUAAUCCCAGAACCUGGGGGGCAGAUGCAGGAGGACUGUUGUUUGAAUAGCCUGGGCUACCUACUGAGUUCUAGGCCAGCCUGGGCUGUAAAAUAAGAUGUUUGUUUUCUGUUUUGUUUUUGUUUUUGUUUUAAAGCAAACAAACAACAAUCUACACAAUGAAACAUUCACCAUGUCUGGAGUCAAAAUGGAAAAUAGCAUAAAUAAGAUUUGUAGA